rnacentral:sRNA from 1 species
GCGUAAGAUAACUGGCGCGGCCACGG